rnacentral:rRNA from 1 species
UGCAAGUCGAACGCGACUUAUCGAGUUAGCAAUAACUUGGUAAGUUGAGUGGCGAAAGGGUGCGUAACACGUGGGAAAUUACCAAGAAGUGGGGGAUAGCUCGACGAAAGUCGAAUUAAUACCGCAUACGAUCGCAAGAUCAAAGCCGGGGACCGCAAGGCCUGGCGCUUUUUGAGAUGCCCGCGGCCCAUCAGCUAGUUGGCGAGGUAAAAGCUCACCAAGGCUAUGACGGGUAGCUGGUCUGAGAGGACGACCAGCCACACUGGAACUGAGACACGGUCCAGACACCUACGGGUGGCAGCAGUCGAGAAUUUUUCACAAUGGGGGAAACCCUGAUGGAGCGACGCCGCGUGGAGGAUGAAGGUUUUCGGAUUGUAAACUCCUGUCACUGCAGAACAAGGGUGCGUUCGUUAAUAGCGAGCGCAUUUGAUGGUAUGCGGAGAGGAAGGGACGGCUAACUCUGUGCCAGCAGCCGCGGUAAGACAGAGGUCCCGAGCGUUGUUCGGAUUCAUUGGGCGUAAAGGGUGUGUAGGAGGUCGGGUAAGUCAGGUGUGAAAUCUCAGAGCUUAACUCUGAAACUGCGCUUGAUACUGCCCGGCUAGAGGAUCGGAGGGGGUAUCGGAAUUUAUGGUGUAGCAGUGAAAUGCGUAGAUAUCAUAAGGAACACCGGUGGCGAAGGCGGAUACCUGGAAGAUUCCUGACUCUGAAACACGAAAGCCAGGGGAGCAAACGGGAUUAGAUACCCCGGUAGUCCUGGC